rnacentral:rRNA from 1 species
UGUCCGGAACUUGCCAGAGAUGGCUUGGUGGCCCAAAGGGGAAUCGGAACACAGGUGCUGCAUGGCUGUCGUCAGCUCGUGUCGUGAGAUGUUGGGUUAAGUCCCGCAACGAGCGCAACCCUUAUCAUUAGUUGCUACGCAAGGGCACUCUAAUGAGACUGCCGGUGGACAAACCGGAGGAGGUGGGGAUGACGUCAAGUCCUCAUGGCCCUUAUGGGUAGGGCUUCACACGUCAUACAAUGGUCGGUACAGAGGGUUGCCAAGCCGCGAGGCGGAGCCAAUCCCACAAAGCCGAUCGUAGUCCGGAUUGUUCUCUGCAACUCGAGAGCAUGAAGUCGGAAUCGCUAGUAAUCGCAGGUCAGCAUACUGCGGUGAAUACGUUCCCGGGUCUU